UACAGAGGUCCCAAGCGUUGUUCGGAUUUACUGGGCGUAAAGGGAGCGUAGGUGGCAUUCUAAGUCUGAUGUGAAAGCUCUGAGCUUAACUCAGAAAUGGCAUUAGAUACUAGUUUGCUUGAGGAUUGGAGGGGAGAUUGGAAUACUUGGUGUAGCAGUGAAAUGCGUAGAUAUCAAGUGGAACACCAGUGGCGAAGGCGAAUCUCUGGACAAUUCCUGACACUGAUGCUCGAAAGCUAGGGGAGCAAACGGG
rnacentral:rRNA from 2 species